UGCUAGCCCUAGCAGCCGCGCACCCCCAACCUUAGCUUCCACUGCCUCCGUUUUUUCGUCUCCAACUCGCGUCUCCGUCUUCCAGCCUUGCGUCUCCAGCCUUGCAUCUCCAGCCUUGCAUCUCCAUCCUCCAGCCUUGCGUCUCCAACCUUGCAUCUCUGUCCUCCUGCCUUGCGUCGCUAGCCUUGCAUCUCUGCCCUCCGUUUUUACAUCUCCAACUUUGCGUCUCCGUCCUCCAUUUUACGUCUCCAGCCUUGCAUUAUAGGGAAAUUCAAAGAGCCAUGGAUUAGGGUCAAGCUGGAUCGAAUUGUACUUGAUUUGGAGUUUAAAUUGAUGAGAUCAAAAUGAAUUAAUGUGGACCGUUGAUCGAGAUCAAGACAUCCAAGGGCUCAUGUUAUUCCAAGUUGAAUCAAGAAGAGCCAAAUCCAAACACAACCCAAUCUUCAAGCCAAUCUAAAAGUCCAAUUCAUUAACCCAAUUUCAAACCUUAUUGAUUAAUGGAUCCGGAUCCUUUUCCUUAAACCCAAACCCGAAACCCAUUAAGAAAACCCCUUUUCUCCUUCUCACCCGCACGGAACAGUGGCAACCCCUUCUCUUCUCUAUUCGCGAUUUUCUGCAGCGGCUAGGGCUUGGGCGACAUCCUCACACCAGCGCCGUUCUUCUUCCUUCUCUACGACCGGCGGCUCUUUCUUCCUCUUUUCCCCGCCGCCGGCCGGACCUCCACAGCCCACUUUCUCUUCUAGAUUUCCAGCGGCGAGUGAUAGCAGUAAACUUGGCAGGGGGCAGCAACCUACGGCAACGACUCGAUCAUGCUCAACUCACUGGAGAGGUUUCUCCGGUGAGUUCAUCUUCUUCCCUUGCUUCCUAGAGUCUCUGCUGUAGUGGUUGCAAAGCAGGGAGUCAAGAGGCAGCGGAGGCAGCGAGCUCGAUCAUCCACCUCGUCGGAGGGGUUCUCCGGUGUGAUCUCCACCGUCCAGCUUCUUCCUGGCAGCUCCACUGCUUGGGGUUCAGGCGGCAGAGCAAGGAGCAGCAGGCGGCGGUUCGUUCCUGCAUAGCAUUCCACCAUUUCCCGCCAACUUCACCUUGCCGGAGGGGUUCUCCAGCAAGAUCCGUUCACCAUCGUCAUUGUCGAAGAUUGCAGCCACCAGCAGAUUGCUUCUGUCCACCAGUUUUGGGGGUUCCGAGCCGGGUCUCCGUGUGACGGCGGAGGUAGUCGUUGGUAAUCGGUAGUUGAAGUGUGAACUGUGGUGUAGAUUUUCUUGGUUUAAUUCUGUUUCUUUUAUUAUUGUUGAUGUUUGUGUUGAAUUGUGGUUGAAUGCUUGUAUUAACUUGAUCUUCUAUGUUUAAAUUGCACUUACUAUGUUCAAUUAGUUUUAUGCA